rnacentral:rRNA from 1 species
AGAGCGAACGCUGGCGGCAGGCCUAACACAUGCAAGUCGAGCGCGUGUAGCAAUACACGAGCAGCAGACGGGAGAGUAACACGUGGGAACGCGCCCUUCGGUUCGGAAUAACUCAGGGAAACUUGAGCUAAUACCGGAUACGCCCUUACGGGGAAAGAUUUAUUGCCGAAGGAACGGCCCGCGUCCGAUUAGCUAGUUGGUGAGGUAACGGCUCACCAAGGCGACGAUCGGUAGCUGGUCUGAGAGGAUGACCAGCCUCACUGGGACUGAGACACGGCCCAGACUCCUACGGGAGGCAGCAGUGGGGAAUAUUGGACAAUGGGCGCAAGCCUGAUCCAGCCAUGCCGCGUGGAUGAUGAAGGCCUUAGGGUUGUAAAGCUCUUUUGUGCGGGAAGAUAAUGACGGUACCGCAAGAUAAGCCCCGGCUAACUUCGUGCCAGCAGCCGC